UACGUAGGGAGCUAGCGUUGUUCGGAAUUACUGGGCGUAAAGAGAACGUAGGCGGGGAAGUAAGUUAGAAGUGAAAUGUAUCGGCUCAACCGAUAAUCUGCUUUUAAUACUACUUCUCUUGAGUAUGGAAGAGGAAGAUGGAAUUCCAGGUGUAGCGGUGGAAUGCGUAGAUAUCUGGAAGAACACCAGUAGCGAAGGCGAUCUUCUGGCACAAUACUGACGCUGAGGUUCGAAAGCUAGGGGAGCGAACAGGAUUAGAUACCCGCGUA
rnacentral:rRNA from 1 species